UAACGUGAAAGAUGAGAAGUAGUAGUAGUAUAGACAAUAGGAUAGAAAAAUACAAUUAAAAAAGAUUUUUAAUGCAUUAAAAAAAAGAAGAAUGAUUUCUAAUACAUUGAAAAAUCAUUUUAAAUCUGUAGAAAAAAUGAGUGAUAAUUAAAUAAAAUCAGAAAUGAGGAAGGAGCAGUCGAGUCUGACCAGAAGGGAAAAAAUGCUGGCUAAGCUAACUGUUUCACACAUGCACCGACAGAAGGUUCGAUAUGCAUUCGAUCGAUGAAUGAAAAGGCACAAUGGCAAAAUCGGACGGGCUUCUUUUCAAAUCCACAUCCCCAGUGUUCCACUCAGUCUGCAGUUCCAUGGCAGGCAGAGAGCAAGGGUUACAUCAAGGCUGCUCUGUGGACCGUGCCAACAAGUCUAGACCAAUGACCUGCUGAAUAGCUCCCUUUGAAGAGCACGCAAGUUCGGUCGGGAUGAAGAGAAAUUGAGGCGGACCCUCUUUUGAGUGUGGAGCAGCCCGUGGCCACUGGGAGCGCAGAAAUCAGGAGCAGAUAUGGAUACAUCUCCACUGAAACUCGACCAGGUUUCUCUCAGCCGAUGGGACUCCAGUGGACCCCGCGGCUGCUCUGAGCGUCUUCCUCCAGUCAGAGCUUUUUGGCGGUUAGCGGUGGCCGCAGGUGCUCCUGUUACCUGCACGAAAAGCUGCAUGAGCACCCCAGCAAUCCUCAAACACUCUCUCUCUCUCUCUCUCUCUCUCUCUCUCUCUUACACACACACACACACACAACCCAGACAUAUUUUUGUUCUUCAGCAUACAGUGAGCUCUGGCAGAGAUAUGAAAUAUAUAAACCUGUCUGUAUCCUAAAAUGCACUCUCUCUCACACAUAAAAACACAAACAAACAAACAAAAACAAUCCGUUGUGAAUGAGUGUCCAAAAUAAUACAGAUUCAAUUAAUAUAAUUUCAUAUAAUGCUGUAAUAUAAUUUACAGAUAUACUUAAUGGUUUUAAUUGCAUUAAUUUUCUUCUUUUUAGGUGCAGAUGUUAUUUUCAGCUUGAAGGGAACUUGCAGAUUAACUUGAUAUUAUUAUACGCAUUCUUACUGUUUACUAGGAUAUGCCAUAAAAUAAUACCACAUUAUUCAAAACAUAUAUAUUUAUAUUUGCCUUAUUUUACCUUUUAAAAAAAUCAAAACAAGAUAAAUGUACUUAUAAGCAGACAUUUCAGCAAAGUUAUCUUUAAGUUGUUGUCAAUUUUCAA